rnacentral:snoRNA from 1 species
CCAACGUGGAUACCCCGGGAGGUCACUCUCCCCGGGCUCUGUCCAGGUGGCGAACGGGAGCGUAGGGCUCUGCCCGGUGAUGUACAGUCCCUUUCCACAACGUUGGAGAUGAAGCUGGGCCUUGAGUCUGCGCCUGCAUAUUCCUACGUUUUCUCAGAGUCCUGUGGACAAUGACUGAGGAGAAAAACCAUGCAGAAAACAGCU